AGCAGUCAGAUCUGUUGCCAAAGAUUCACAGAAUGAAUGACAGCUUUGGAAAGGUACAGACUCCUGGGUAAAGGUGGAAGCAGUGGUGGAUAUGUUUGUAAAUGAAGCCUAAUUAACAACAGAUCGACAAACCAAGCCCUGAUUUGUUCCAUUCCUGGUGGAAUGCCCAACGUGUGAAUGCUCAUCCUAAAAAUUUAACAGUGGGCUUCCCUGUACGGUUAUCAGCUAGCUCCAGGAGACCACUGUUGAUAUGUCCAAAGGGAAAGGAAGAAUAUUAUUGUAUCAAUUACUAUUCUCUCCUGAAAGAAGCUAAGGACACACUCUCAAACUUCCAGACCCUCACUUAACCUUCUACAAGCCUAGAACAUUUAAGGAUAAAAGAUGGAGUAGAGGUUGUGUGGUUACCUCUGUUUAGGUUCCUGUAACACUAGACUGAGUUUUACUUUAUUUUUUUUUCUCAUUUCCUGAAAAGCCAGUGUGUAAGACUGAUUGUAACAGGAAUCUUUGAGUGCUAAAAUACAGAGAAAUGAAAGACCUUUAGGAGUUUUAUGAAAGAGUUAGAUAAA